UACGGGGGGGGCAAGCGUUGUUCGGAAUUACUGGGCGUAAAGGGCGCGUAGGCGGCCUACUAAGUCGGACGUGAAAUCCCUCGGCUCAACCGGGGAACUGCGUCCGAUACUGGUGGGCUCGAAUCCGGGAGAGGGAUGUGGAAUUCCAGGUGUAGCGGUGAAAUGCGUAGAUAUCUGGAGGAACACCGGUGGCGAAGGCGGCAUCCUGGACCGGUAUUGACGCUGAUGCGCGAAAGCCAGGGGAGCAAAGCGGG
rnacentral:rRNA from 1 species